CUUCCUACGGGGGGCAGCAGUCGAGAAUCAUUCACAAUGGGGGAAACCCUGAUGGUGCGACGCCGCGUGGGGGAAUGAAGGUCUUCGGAUUGUAAACCCCUGUCAUGUGGGAGCAAAUUAAAAAGAUAGUACCACAAGAGGAAGAGACGGCUAACUCUGUGCCAGCAGCCGCGGUAAUACAGAGGUCUCAAGCGUUGUUCGGAAUCACUGGGCGUAAAGGGAGCGCAGGCGGGAAGCCAAGUCAGCUGUGAAAACUACGGGCUUAACUUG
rnacentral:rRNA from 1 species